rnacentral:antisense_RNA from 19 species
CUUGAUGGAGCCCAGCCAGAGCGGCCGGUUCCCGGGGCGGUCCUGCCCGUAGGUGGCGAGCAGCGCCUGGGCCUC